rnacentral:rRNA from 1 species
UACGUAGGCAGCAAGCGUUGUUCGGAGUUACUGGGCGUAAAGGGUGUGUAGGCGGUUCUUUUAAGUUUGGUGUGAAAUCUCCCGGCUCAACUGGGAGGGUGCGCCGAAUACUGAGGGACCAGAGUACGGGAGAGGAAAGUGGAAUUCCUGGUGUAGCGGUGAAAUGCGUAGAUAUCAGGAGGAACACCGGUGGUGUAGACGGCUUUCUGGACCGUAACUGACGCUGAGACACGAAAGCGUGGGUAGCAAACAGG